GAAGGAAGGAAGGAAAAGAAAAUGAAGGAAAGAGGGAGGAAGGGAGGAACAGAUGAAUUUAAAUCUCACCAGUCCGCAGUAGACGGUCUCUCCAGACGCCUUCUUCAUCUUCCUCAGCUGGGAGACGAAGUACCAGAAACGGGACUUGGCCACCACAUGGUUGGGGGCGAAGAUCCUCAUCCGGUAGAGGGGGGG